AUGAACUUUCGGAAAACUAAUUCGCCUUAUUUUGAAAUAGAGAUAUUAAUUGUUGGGAUCAUAUCCAUGUACCAUCAUCCAAAACCCAUGUAUUCAUGAGGUGUGGCGUUAAUUUCGACUAAUCUGCCCCAUGGACGGAAUCUCAAGACCAUGAUUGGCAGACCAACCCACAUACAAUUCCUUGAGACUAACAUCUACCCAAAGUUCAUCUUCUGGUAUGUCUCUGAACUUCUCUCAUGACAAUACUCUUAGUUGGUACGACAUCAAGUUCCAAACCAAUCCAAACUUGGCAGCACUACUUACCAAUAAAUUAAGAUAACUUUUGCAAAAAGGUUUUGUCGUAAUUUGUCAUAUCAAGAUGAGUAGCACUAUAUUGUUUCCUAGCAGUAAGCUUUUGCCAGCUUCUUAGAUUUGAUCUGUAUGAAUACUUGAUUAGUUCAUUUUCAUUUAUAGCAUUGUAGAUGUUCGCUUCUGCUACUCGAUUUCCAUAAUGGAACAUCCAGUUUAGGUGGGCCAAACAGCCGGUAAGCUUAAGAAUUGGUGGUAAGCUCUUGCAAGAACUUGCAAGCUUCUUGUGUUAAAUUUCAUUUAUGUGCCUGUAUUUGUUCUUGAAUCCUUGUUCUUUUUGUGUACUUUAUACGGAGGUUGCAGUAACUCACAGCACUACAGUUUUCUUUCCCUGUACUUUGUAACAUAUAGCUGUACAUAGUUACUGUUAUUUGCGUUUUGAUUAAAAUGAGAACAUAAUUCUUAUGAUCUACAAUGUCCAUAUAGUGUAUCUCUUCUAGAUGGAAAGGUGUGCAGAAGGGAUUUGUACCAAUUGACCGGGUAGCAAUUGAACAGGAAGAGGCGUAGUAAGGAUAAAAUAGUAGAAGAGCACUAGAGGAUGCUUGAAUGAAUUGUAAAGCGGGAUGAGAAGUGUCGCAAAAGAAUCAAUUCUGCUGGUAUCGAUUACGAGUGUCCAGCCCCUCUCCAUCACCCGCUUGAAAGAGAGGAGAAGGGUUGCCUCCCGUCCGUCUCAUCCCAUCCCCUUGUGCCAGCCAUGAAAGAGAGGAGGGAGAGCAGAAAUGAGCGUGGUGGCAAUGCGCCGAUGCUGGCCGGUUGAGGCAUGGUCGACGUGUCAGUCAAGGGGUCCCUGCAUUUGUGAUCUAUGAUGGUCGGCUCGCUGUGGCGGUCGGCCAUGGAAUAGUUGUGAGGGAGAGCACCCCUUUAGCGCCUCUCCGCAUAGUUCUUCCUUCCCCUACCGCCGAUCAACAGUUCGAUAUCCUUGUCCAAGGCCGGCGUGUACAGUUUCAGCCUCGUUCCCAUGGAUGGCAAAGUCUGU